rnacentral:rRNA from 1 species
UACCAGCACCCCGAGUGGUCGGGACGAUUAUUGGGCCUAAAGCAUCCGUAGCCGGUCAUGCAAGUCCUCCGUUAAAUCCACCUGCUUAACAGACGGGCUGCGGAGGAUACUACAAGGCUAGGAGGCGGAAGAGGCAAGCGGUACUCAGUGGGUAGGGGUAAAAUCCUCUGAUCCAUUGAAGACCACCAGUGGCGAAGGCGGCUUGCCAAUACGCGCUCGACGGUGAGGGAUGAAAGCUGGGGGAGCAAACCGG